CCCGCUGAACUUAAGCAUAUCAGUAAGCGGAGGAAAAGAAACUAACAAGGAUUCCUUGAGUAACGGCGAGUGAAACGGGAAAAGCUCAAAUUUAAAAUCUGGCAUCUUUGAUGCUCGAAUUGUAAUUGAGAGGAUCUUCUUUUGAUUUAAGUAAUGAUCAAAGUUCUCUGGAAAGGGACAACAAAGAGGGUGAUAUUCCCGUUUGGGUCAUUACAUAAAGUCAGUAUAAAGAAGGUUCUAAGAGUCGGAUUGUUUGGGAAUGCAGUCCAAAACGGGUGGUACAUUUCAUCUAAAGCUAAAUAUAUACAAGAGACCGAUAGCGAACAAGUACCGUGAGGGAAAGAUGAAAAGAACUUUGAAAAGAGAGUUAAAUAGUACGUGAAAUUGUUAAAAGGGAAACGAUUGAGAUCAGUGAUGUGAAAUGUUCUUAAGCUUACCUUUAGGGGUUUGUAGUAUGAGCAAUUUACAAGUCGACGCUUUUUUUAUUUCUUGGAUAAGGCAUUAGAAAAGGUGGCUCCAUUUUCGAAUGGUUGCUUUAUAGUUCUUUUGAGAUACAAGAUUUAAGAGAAGACAGGUAGGAUCAUUUAUUUUGAUUCACGUUGACGAAAUGAUCUUAAACGACCCGUCUUGAAACACGG
rnacentral:rRNA from 1 species